UACGUAGGGUGCGAGCGUUAAUCGGAAUUACUGGGCGUAAAGCGUGCGCAGGCGGUUUUGUAAGCCAGGGGUGAAAUCCCCGGGCUCAACCUGGGAAUGGCAUUUGGGACUGCAAGGCUGGAGUGCGGCAGAGGAGACUGGAAUUCCUGGUGUAGCAGUGAAAUGCGUAGAUAUCAGGAGGAACACCGGUGGCGAAGGCGGGUCUCUGGGCCGUUACUGACGCUGAGGAGCGAAAGCGUGGGGAGCGAACAGG
rnacentral:rRNA from 1 species